CAUUGGUUCAUGUACAAACGUCACAACCAGGACUCGCCUAAAGGUAUGGGCAUGUUCCAACUACUAAAUAGUCGCCCACUGACUUCAUACAGACAAGACAGGUUUUCUGAUCAAGUCACGGAUUGACGAUCUUGGAUUCAACACCGGCCUAGGUGAGAAAAUGAAGGGCUACCUGAAAAGCCUCCUCUUGUUGAUGGUGUUGAUGACCGUUUUCUUGGACGAUACCGAUGCCCAAUGGGGAGGGGGCAAAUCGCCCUGCGAUGGACUUCGCGACUGUAUUCAAGCCGCAUUAAAGCGCCAGCCUCGGGAUCUUGCCGCAGAUGAUUUCAAGCUCAAGGAGGCAAAGGAAAACGGCGAUAGCCUGCUCCUCGCAAAGCUCCGAGGAAAUCCUUGAUCCAGGAUCAAGAUCAACAGACUCUGAAGGACAGCUGCAGCUGUGGCUACUACCCAAAGAAGGGAGAUCUGCAAAUCAUCAUGCAUCACGCAAUGCUGCUUCACUGCAUCAAUAGGCCUUAAUUUUUGACGGGACAAAGGUCCCCUAGUGUAUUGACCGCUAAGUAGAAUCAAAUAUUGUAAUACUCCUUUUUAUCACUAUACCUUAUGACAAAAAAAUCAGUCACGUGGUUCGGUUACGGACAACAGUUUAAGUACUUAGAACUGCCAACUCAAAAUCGGUCCGCCAAGUUUCAUUUUAGUCUCAUGUCUGUCUUAGUUCAGCGUCUUAAGAUAUUCCCUAAUAAUGACACCUUCUAAUUACGUACAACGGACGUCUGAAGUAAUUAACAAUUGGCCAUUUUAGUACAUAUUAACUUACAAACCAGUUUCAACAUUUAGUCCGUACUUCCUCUGUUCUCGUGUUCCGAAAUUACAGAACCUCAAAGAUUCGGAAUGUUAAGAUUGAGCUCCAUCAUGUAUCUUAUAUAUAUGCUUUGCGUUGGUGAGGUAAAAUAAACAUGUGGAAUGUUCACUGUUUAUAA